GAAAUGCGAUAAGUAAUGUGAAUUGCAGAAUUCAGUGAAUCAUCGAAUCUUUGAACGCACCUUGCGCUCCUUGGUAUUCCUUGGAGCAUGCCUGUUUGAGUAUCAUGAAAUCUUCAAAGUAAAUCUUUUGUUAAUUCAAUUGGUUUCUACUUUGGUAUUGGAGGUCUUUGCAGCUUCACACCUGCUCCUCUUUGUUCAUUAGCUGGAUCUCAGUGUUAUGCUUGGUUCCACUCGGCGUGAUAAGUUAUCUAUCGCUGAGGACACUGUAAAAGGUGGCCAAGGUAAAUGCAGAUGAACCGCUUCUAAUAGUCCAUUGACUUGGACAAUACUUUUAUGAUCUGAUCUCAAAUCAGGUAGGACUACCCGCUGAACUUAAGC
rnacentral:misc_RNA from 1 species